rnacentral:rRNA from 1 species
GGACUACUGGGGUAUCUAAUCCUGUUUGCUACCCACGCUUUCGUGUCUCAGCGUCAGUUACGGUCCAGAUAGCCGUCUACACCACCGGUGUUCCUCCUGAUAUCUACGCAUUUCACCGCUACACCAGGAAUUCCACUAUCCUCUCCCGCACUCUAGUCUUUCAGUAUUCGGCGCACCCUCCCAGUUGAGCCGGGAGAUUUCACACCAAACUUAGAAGACCGCCUACACACCCUUUACGCCCAGUAACUCCGAACAACGCUUGCUGCCUACGUAUUACCGCGGCUGCUGGCAC